AGUGAACGCUGGCGGUAGGCCUAACACAUGCAAGUCGAACGGCAGCACAGUAAGAGCUUGCUCUUACGGGUGGCGAGUGGCGGACGGGUGAGGAAUACAUCGGAAUCUACUUUUUCGUGGGGGAUAACGUAGGGAAACUUACGCUAAUACCGCAUACGACCUACGGGUGAAAGCAGGGGAUCUUCGGACCUUGCGCGAUUGAAUGAGCCGAUGUCGGAUUAGCUAGUUGGCGGGGUAAAGGCCCACCAAGGCGACGAUCCGUAGCUUGUCUGAGAGGAUGAUCAGCCACACUGGAACUGAGACACGGUCCAGACUCCUACGGGAGGCAGCAGUGGGGAAUAUUGGACAAUGGGCGCAAGCCUGAUCCAGCCAUACCGCGUGGGUGAAGAAGGCCUUCGGGUUGUAAAGCCCCUUUGUUGGGAAAGAAAAGCAGCAGGUUAAUACCCCGCUGUUCUGACGGUACCCAAAGAAUAAGCACCGGCUAACUUCGUG
rnacentral:rRNA from 1 species